ensembl:lncRNA
CUGCUUGAGAGAGGUGGCGGAUUAUGUUUUUAUAUCAAUGAAGGUUGGUGUACAGGCAUGACAGUUAUAAAGAAGAUGUGCUGCCCAAAUUUGAAAGCUCUCUUUAUUAACUGUAAGCCUUUUUAUUCACCGUUGGAGUUCUCCUCGUGAGUGUGUACAUUCCUCCUGACACGUGUGUGAGCGCGGCGCUAGAACUGUUGGCUGACCAGAUCAAACACACAGAACAGCGUUAUCCGGAUUCUUUCAUUAUCAUUCUUGGUGAUUUUAAUAAAGCUAAUCUCAACCGUGAACUGCCUAAAUAUAGACAGCACAUCACAAGCCCCACCAGAGACAACAAUAUACUGGACCACUGCUACACUGUUUUAAAGGAUGCAUAUCACUCUGUCCCCCGAGCAGCUCUGAGACUCUCUGAUCACUGUUUGGUUCAUCUUCUACCAGCCUUCAGGCAGAAACUCAAAUCUGCUGUAGUAAGAACUUUAAAGAGAUGGACUUUUGAAGCAGAGUGGGAUUUACAGGCCUGCUUCAAACUUACUGAUUGUAGUGUUUUUGAAGCUGCAGCUACUGAUCUGGACGAGCUUAAUCACAACGUGAUAUCCUACAUCAAUUUCUGUGAGGACACGUGUGUUCCCACCAGGACUUAUUUAACAUUUAACAACAACAAACCUUGGAUCAGUGCAAAACUCAAACAGCUUCGCCAGGCAAAAGAGGACACCUACAGGAGUUUGGACAAAGCCAGGUACAAACAGGCCAAAUACACACUGAAUAGGGAGAUAAGAGUGGCAAUAUCUCAAUAUAUCUCAAUAUCUCUGAAAAGCUAAAAAAAAACAGCUCUCAAGUACACAUCAGUGUGGAAUGGCCUGAAAGCCAUCACCAGCUACAAGACCCUAUCUCCCAGCACUGAGACCAAUCAACAACUGGCUGAAGACCUGAAUGAGUUUUACUGCAUGUUUGAAAAGCAAAAGACUGGUCUGACACCCCACACCCAUUCUGAUUCUCUCAAACACAGCCA